rnacentral:lncRNA from 1 species
UGCUGUUUUUAAUUAAUUUCCUAUAGUCCAGAAAAGCCAAAAAAAAUAUAGUAGAUUAGUUUUUCCAUAAUCCUAUUAAACCUUUGUGCCUUGGCUAGUACCGUUUUAGUUAGGGCUUGUUGAAUUUGCGUUGCUUCGGUUUGUGUCGAGUUGCUGGUCUUAGUGUCUAGUCCUUUAGAGUUUCGAGUUCUUGUCACCAUCUAUACACAGCCGAGUAUUACCAUAUCUUCUCUCUGUCGAAUCUGUUGUGAAGUCCGAAUUGAACUGUGAUCCAAAAAGAAAGAUAACUCCAUACUUGUUCGGCCUUACUCUAGAGAGAGAGAGAGAGUGUGUGUGUGUAGCGAAUUGCUCUUUUGUAUUCCUUUGUUCAUUAAUCAGUUUUUGAGGUUGCCCAAAAAAAAAGAAAAAAAAAGAAAAAAAAAAGAAAAGAGAAAAGAUUCAAAAGAAAAAAAGGGGCUGUUUUUCAUAUUGAUUUUAGGUUUCUUCCACCUUGUUUUCGGGGGUGUGCUGUGGUUUUCCUUUGUGUCCAGGCUCGCGUCUCUAGCACGGUCUAGCCUAGGACCAGCACAGUACCAUCGUCGAACGCUUAUUCAGCUCGCUUUUAUAACUAACGUGGUGCUAGUUCGUUUCUUGUUUCAGCCCACCUAUAGCUCCACAUACUCUACAGCUUGACAGGUCUUGUGCUACAGCACCGAUACACUUCGUCCAUUGCUGUACACUUGUUGGCAGACGACACCUCCUGUCAAGCAAGGUAAGAAUUGGUAAGAACUUGUGUUACAGAUUGAGUGUGAGCGACUUGCUGUAGCUACAUCCUAGUAGUUGUAGGGCUUUUAUUUCUUCACUUGUCUUUUUGUUGUCUUUGUCUUUGAACCAUGCCAGGGGCAGAUGAUGGUAACGAAACACCACUUACACCUCGCACUAAGGGCAUCAUACAACAUUUUGAAAGGAAAGUGAAGCUGCACACAGAGGGACUUGAUAACGACUUGCAGGUGACGAAUGAAAAGCUGGGGCAGUUGGAGGCUACGCAGAUUGUCACAAACAACAAGCUCACAAGUUUGGAGGAAUCCGUUGCUAGUGUGGACAAAAGCCUUGCUGCUCUCCUAAGGCGAUUUGAUGCUUUCCACACUGAAGAUAAAGAGAAGCAUAAAGAAGAAAAGGAGGGAGAUCGAGAGCACGGUAGUCAUAAAGAUGACUACACUGGUGAUACUGAACAUGAUGAUCAAGACACUCGUGAUCGACGUCGCCUUCGUCACAACCGUAGAGGUAUGGGUGGCGACCACCGACGCGAGGUACACAAUAAUGAUGAUGCUUUCAGUAAGAUUAAAUUUAAGAUACCCCCUUUUGAUGGUAAAUAUGACUCUGAUGCUUACAUCACUUGGGAGAUUGCUGUUGAUCAAAAGUUUGCAUGUCAUGAAUUUUGCUGAGACUACACGUGUUAGGGCUGCUACUAGUGAGUUUACAGAUUUUGCUUCUGUUUGGUGGAUAGAAUAUGGAAAGAAAAAUCCUAAUAACUUACCUAGAACUUGGGAUGCGCUGAAAAGGGCCAUGAGAGCUAGAUUUGUUCCAUCUUACUAUGCGCGUGAUAUGAUAAAUAAGUUGCAGCAGUUAAGACAAGGUGCUAAAAGUGUAGAAGAAUAUUAUCAGGAAUUACAAACGGGUAUGUUGCGUUGUAACCUAGAGGAGGAUGAGGAACCGGCUAUGGCUAGAUUUUUGGGUGGGUUAAAUCGGGAAAUUCAGGACAUCCUCGCUUACAAAGAAUACAAUAAUGUAACCCGUUUGUUUCAUCUUGCUUGUAAAGCUGAAAGGGAAGUGCAGGGACGACGUGCUAGCGCAAGGAGUAAUAUUUCUGCAGGGAAGGCUAAUUCAUGGCAGCAACACAUGGCUUCAACUCCAUCUACACGUAUUUCUACUCCAUCAUCUAGUGACAAGGCUCGAGCUGCCCCCACCAAUUCAGUUGCGAAGACGAUGCAAAAGCCUGCUGCAAGUACUUCAUCCGUGGCAUCGAUGGGUAGAACAAGCAACAUACAAUGUCAUCGGUGCAAGGGAUAUGGGCACAUGAUGCGUGACUGCCCAAACAAGCGAGUUAUGAUUGUCAGGGAUGAUGGUGAGUACUCAUCUGCUAGUGAUUUUGAUGAGGAUACACUUGCACUGCUUGCGACUGACCAUGCAGGUAAUGAAGAUCAAAUAGAAGAACAUAUUAAUGCAGGUGAAGCGGACCACUGUGAGAGCUUGAUCGUGCAGCGAGUGCUUAGUGCACAAAUGGAGAUGGCGGAACAAAAUCAGCGACACAUUUUAUUCCAAACAAAGUGUGUCAUCAAAGAGCGUUCUUGUCGCAUGAUCUUUGAUGGUGGUAGCUGCAACAACUUGGCAAGCAGCGAUAUGGUGCAGAAGCUUGCCCUCAACACCAAACCACACCCGCAUCCCUACUGCAUCCAAUGGUUGAACAACAGUGGUAAGGCAAAGGUAACUAGACUUGUGAGAAUUAAUUUUUCCAUCGGAUCCUACAAAGAUAUUGUUGAAUGUGAUGUUGUGCCUAUGCAAGCUUGUAACAUUCUGCUAGGUAGACCUUGGCAAUUUGAUAGAGAUUCUAUGCAUCAUGGUAGAUCAAAUCAGUAUUCUUUUCUAUACCAUGAUCGCAAAAUUGUGUUGCAUCCUAUGUCCCCUGAAACUAUUAUGCAAACUGAUGUUGCUAGGGCUACUAAAGCAAAGAGCAAGAGCAAUAAAAAUGAUAAAUCUGUAAUUGGUAACAAAGAUGAGAUAAAACUGAAAGGACGUUGUAUGAUAGCUACCAAAUCAGAUAUUAAUGAGUUCAAUGCAUCCACUUCUGUUGCUUAUGCUUUGAUAUGCAAGGAUGCUUUGGUUUCAAUUGAGGAUAUGCAAUGUUCUUUGCCCCCUGUUGUUGCUAACGUUUUGCAGGAGUAUUCUGAUGUGUUUCCAUGUGAGGUACCAGCGGGGCUGCCUCCACUACGCGGGAUUGAGCACCAAAUUGAUCUUAUUCCUGGAGCAGUUUUGCCAAAUCGUGCACCAUAUAGGACAAACCCGGAGGAAACAAAGGAAAUUCAGCGACAAGUGCAAGAACUACUAGACAAAGGUUAUGUCCGAGAAUCUCUUAGUCCUUGUGCUGCUCCAGUAAUUUUAGUGCCUAAGAAAGAUGGAACAUGCCGUAUGUGUGUUGAUUGUAGAGCUAUUAAUAAUAUCACCUGAUGAGGACAUCAACACCAGCGAUACAUAUCCUACAUCCUCUCCGACACAACCUGUAGCUGGUCCUCUUACUCGUGCUCGUGCCCGUCAACUCAACCUUCAAGUAAGUUCAGCUUUAAACUCUUGUCAAUCAUAUUUAGACAAUGGAGACACGUGCACUUUCGUGUUGCUCAGGAAUAAUGGACAAGAUCAGCAAGGGAAGGUUCAACUGCAUUCAGAAUUUGAGGCAACACCAACUUCAAGGGCUGAUUGCAUAUGGGAAGAGUGAUAACUUAACAAAGGUGAUUGGAGAUCAGGUCCAAGCCUCCACAACAUCCUCUAUCAAGUUAACACGUCGCUUCUAAAGCAAGGAAACAAAGAGUCUAAACCCAACACGUUUUGGGAGUUGGAUUCGGACUGGAAAAUAACUCUAACUUGUAUGGAUCACCACGGCGUCAUAUGGACUCCAACUGGGACGUUCCUAUACUUGUUGGAAAGCUCAUGAAGUCUACUUUCCAAUGGGUCCAACCACAUAUCUAUGCAGCUUAUGAGUCGGGCGCAGUCCUUGUUUUCGUGCCGACACCUUUUUCUGUUUCGGUGCUGCGUAACCCUAUUUUGGACCAAUGGCCCAUGUAUCAAGUUGAGUCCAUUAGGGACGCGUCCUAGGGUUGGAGGACGACUCUAGCACCCCUUUGGUCGUCCUCCCCUCUAUUUAUUUACAUCUAGAGCCGCCAUGAACAACUGGGUUUUGUUUAGAUCAAGUUUAGCCUUCGCUACUUGCUUGUAGGCGCGCGUGCAGGAUCAGCCGCCCGUCUCCUUGUCUUCGGAACCCCAUUGUUGAUUCAGAUUCAGUUUGAAACCUUCAAUUCAUCUUGCAAAUUCAGUGCUUGUUUCCUCGUUCUUGCUAGUUCUUCGAUUGCUUGCAGGACGGGAGCCCUAGGGGCUGGUUGUCGCGCUCCACAAGAUCGUGACGGCUGUUGGACGUGGUGUAUCGGUUGCUAAGGCGCGGUCUUGAGGGCUGUAGUCGGGCCGUGAACGUCAUCUCCAUCCACUAAUCGAGUUAUCCAGCGCCUCUCAUCGAAAGAUCAGGCCGAAAACCCUAGUGGGUUUACAUCAGUUGGUAAUCAGAGCGAGGUUCUUCGGUGAGAGACUUCUAAUCCUUUGUUGUUUUUAAUUAAUUUCCUAUAGUCCAGAAAAGCCAAAAAAAAUAUAGUAGAUUAGUUUUUCCAUAAUCCUAUUAAACCUUUGUGCCUUGGCUAGUACCGUUUUAGUUAGGGCUUGUUGAAUUUGCGUUGCUUCGGUUUGUGUCGAGUUGCUGGUCUUAGUGUCUAGUCCUUUAGAGUUUCGAGUUCUUGUCACCAUCUAUACACAGCCGAGUAUUACCAUAUCUUCUCUCUGUCGAAUCUGUUGUGAAGUCCGAAUUGAACUGUGAUCCAAAAAGAAAGAUAACUCCAUACUUGUUCGGCCUUACUCUAGAGAGAGAGAGAGAGAGUGUGUGUGUGUGUGUGUGUAGCGAAUUGCUCUUUUGUAUUCCUUUGUUCAUUAAUCAGUUUUUGAGGUUGCCCAAAAAAAAAAGAAAAAAAAAGAAAAAAAAAGAAAAGAGAAAAGAUUCAAAAGAAAAAAAGGGGCUGUUUUUCAUAUUGAUUUUAGGUUUCUUCUACCUUGUUUUCGGGGGUGUGGUGUGGUUUUCCUUUGUGUCCAGGCUCGCGUCUCUAGCACGGUCUAGCCUAGGACCAGCACAGUACCAUCGUCGAACGCUUAUUCAGCUCGCUUUUAUAACUAACGUGGUGCUAGUUCGUUCCUUGUUUCAGCCCACCUAUAGCUCCACAUACUCUACAGCUUGACAGGUCUUGUGCUACAGCAACGAUACACUUCGUCCAUUGCUGUACACUUGUUGGCAGACGACCCCUCCUGUCAAGCAAGGUAAGAAUUGGUAAGAACUUGUGUUACAGGUUGAUUGUGAGCGACUUGCUGUAGCUACAUCCUAGUAGUUGUAGGGCUUUUAUUUCUUCACUUGCCUUUUUGUUGUCUUUGUCUUUGAACCAUGCCAAGGGCAGAUGAUGGUAAUGAAACACCACUUACACCUCGCACUAAGGGCAUCAUACAACAUUUUGAAAGGAAAGUGAAGCUGCACACAGAGGGACUUGAUAACGACUUGCAGGUGACGAAUGAAAAGCUGGGGCAGUUGGAGGCUACGCAGAUUGCCACAAACAACAAGCUCACAAGUUUGGAGGAAUCCGUUGCUAGUGUGGACAAAAGCCUUGCUGCUCUCCUAAGGCGAUUUGAUGCUUUCCACACCGAAGAUAAAGAGAAGCAUAAAGAAGAAAAGGAGGG